GAGGAAAGGUGGCUAACAAGGAUCGAGCCGACGACCCACUCACGACGGAACGUUUAGAGCGAGCCUUGGAGCCUCUCGUUCUUAUGCAAUCCGACAACACACACAGGCUGCGCAUGCUCGAGCAUCGGCUCAGCAUGAUGGCGAACCAGCAGAGUGGGCAGGGCAACAUCCUCUGGCACCGCGACUGGUGGAUCGUCGUCGUCAUGCUCGCCUUUCAAGCCGUGCUGCACUGGCUCUUCAAGGGCUGAUGACGUCACCUCGAUCGACUCGGCGGGGCAGGAAGAGGGAGAGAGAGAAG